UCGGGAAUUUUGGGCAAUGGGCGAAAGCCUGACCCAGCAACGCCGCGUGAGGGAUGAAGUAUUUCGGUAUGUAAACCUCGAAAGAAUGGGAAGAAUAAAUGACGGUACCAUUUAUAAGCUCCGGCUAACUACGUGCCAGCAGCCGCGGUAAUACGUAGGGAGCAAGCGUUGUUCGGAUUUACUGGGCGUAACGGGCGCGUAGGCGGCUCGGUAAGUCACUUGUGAAAUCUCUGAGCUUAACUCAGAACGGCCAAGUGAUACUGCUGUGCUAGAGUGCGGAAGAGGCAACCGGAAUUCUUGGUGUAGCGGUGAAAUGCGUAGAUAUCAAGAGGAACACCUGAGGCGAAGGCGGGUUGCUGGGCCGACACUGACGCUGAUGCGCGAAAGCCAGG
rnacentral:rRNA from 1 species